GUGGGUCAGGAAGAGGAAGAAAAGAGUACCUAAGAGUAGUGGGCAUGGGAACAUGGAGGAAAGUUCAAACUCUUCUUCCCCUCUAAAUUAGGGGGGUCGACUUGUUUUGAUGUUUUCCCGAUGCCUCCCAUGCCUAUUGUCCUUAGGUGCUCCUUCCUCUUCCCUUUGGCACAC
rnacentral:pre_miRNA from 1 species